rnacentral:rRNA from 1 species
UAGGGAAUCUUCGGCAAUGGACGGAAGUUUGACCGAGCAACGCCACGUGAGUGAAGAAGGUUUUCGGAUCGUAAAGCUCUGUUGUAAGAGAAGAACGAGUGUGAGAGUGGAAAGUUCACACUGUGACGGUAUCUUACCAGAAAGGGACGGCUAACUACGUGCCAGCAGCCGCGGUAAUACGUAGGUCCCGAGCGUUGUCCGGAUUUAUUGGGCGUAAAGCGAGCGCAGGCGGUUAGAUAAGUCUGAAGUUAAAGGCUGUGGCUUAACCAUAGUAGGCUUUGGAAACUGUUUAACUUGAGUGCAAGAGGGGAGAGUGGAAUUCCAUGUGUAGCGGUGAAAUGCGUAGAUAUAUGGAGGAACACCGGUGGCGAAAGCGGCUCUCUGGCUUGUAACUGACGCUGAGGCUCGAAAGCGUGGGGGAGCAAACAGGAUUAGAUACCCUGGUAGUCCACGCUGUAAACGAUGAGUGCUAGGUGUUAGACCCUUUCCGGGGUUUAGUGCCGUAGCUAACGCAUUAAGCACUCCGCCUGGGGAGUACGACCGCAAGUUGG